rnacentral:sRNA from 1 species
CGAGUGGCGAACGGGUGAGUAAUAUANCGGAACGUACCCAAGAGUGGGGGAUAACGUAGCGAAAGUUACGCUAAUACCGCAUACGAUCUAAGGAUGAAAGCAGGGGAUCUUCGGACCUUGUGCUCCUGGAGCGGCCGAUAUCUGAUUAGCUAGUUGGUGAGGUAAAGGCUCACCAAGGCCACGAUCAGUAGCUGGUCUGAGAGGACGACCAGCCACACUGGAACUGAGACACGGUCCAGACUCCUACGGGAGGCAGCAGUGGGGAAUUUUGGACAAUGGGCGAAAGCCUGAUCCAGCAAUGCCGCGUGAGUGAAGAAGGCCUUCGGGUUGUAAAGCUCUUUUGUCAGGGAAGAAACGGUGAGGGCUAAUAUCCUUCGCUAAUGACGGUACCUGAAGAAUAAGCACCGGCUAACUACGUGCCAGCAGCCGCGGUAAUACGUAGGGUGCAAGCGUUAAUCGGAAUUACUGGGCGUAAAGCGUGCGCAGGCGGUUUUGUAAGUCUGACGUGAAAUCCCCGGGCUCAACCUGGGAAUUGCGUUGGAGACUGCAAGGCUAGAAUCUGGCAGAGGGGGGUAGAAUUCCACGUGUAGCAGUGAAAUGCGUAGAGAUGUGGAGGAACACCGAUGGCGAAGGCAGCCCCCUGGGUCAAGAUUGACGCUCAUGCACGAAAGCGUGGGGAGCAAACAGGAUUAGAUACCCUGGUAGUCCACGCCCUAAACGAUGUCUACUAGUUGUCGGGUUUUAAUUAACUUGGUAACGCAGCUAACGCGUGAAGUAGACCGCCUGGGGAGUACGGUCGCAAGAUUAAAACUCAAAGGAAUUGACGGGGACCCGCACAAGCGGUGGAUGAUGUGGAUUAAUUCGAUGCAACGCGAAAAACCUUACCUACCCUUGACA